rnacentral:rRNA from 1 species
CACGUAGGGGGGCUAGCGUUGUCCGGAAUCAUUGGGCGUAAAGAGCGUGUAGGCGGUCCGGUAAGUCCGCUGUGAAAGUCGGGGGGCUCAACCCUCGAAUGCCGGUGGAUACUGUCGGGCUAGAGUCCGGAAGGGGCGAGUGGAAUUCCUGGUGUAGCGGUGAAAUGCGCAGAUAUCAGGAGGAACACCAAUGGCGAAGGCAGCUCGCUGGGACGUGACUGACGCUGAGACGCGAAAGCGUGGGGAGCAAACAGG